UAAAAAAAAGAAAUAAAGUGGGAAGACAUUAUUCCCACAAUAAUGUGUUUCCAUUUAGCUCUUUCAUCCCUUCCUUAUCACAUUAUUUCCACUAAACUAUAUUUAUCUUUAACUACCAAUCCUUUCACAAGUUUGCCCCAUUUAUAAUGUUUCCUCAUUUAGACCCUUCCAUUCCUUUCUUAAUUACAUUACAGCUUUGCUCGUCGCCGGAGGUAUGUGAUAACUUUUAAAUCCUAGCUUGGCUCCUGGCCGGAGAUGUUAUUCUCACCGUAUGCAAAAGAAACAGAGAUGACAUGGUAGUUUGAGUUUAAAGACUUCCAUACUCCUCUAUCCUUCUAACAAAGAAGGUCAAUUCACCAGAUCAGCACUACCCGACAAGCUUCCUUCAGCGAUGACUUCUACACCUGAAGAUGCUUCAGAAAAAGGUGAAGCCAGGAAUUGCGGGGGAAGCAAAGGGGUUUGAAAGCUUAGCCAAAGAGUUUAUUAGUCGAAGUUUCGUAGAGGUAGAGCCAGUAUUGCUUUCUUGAGAAUUUUCUUUUUCAACCACGUGACAUGACUUCGGCACUGAUAAUUAAAUUUUAAACUAUUUUGGAAGAAGUGAAUUUUUAUGGGAGGGAUGAAAAUGGAGAUGGAAAAUAAUUAGAAAAGGUUACUUUUCCGUGUUUGGAAAUGUUGAGGAAAAUGGCUAGAGAAGGAAAAUAACAUAUAAAAUUCACCCGGGCCUACAAAGUAAUAAUCACUACCAGACGGAUGGUUAAGUAUUGAUAAUCAUUAGGGGUGAAGCGACGAAUUAUAAAGGGAUUUGGAAGCUUCGCAGUAGUGCAGGGGUAGCAAAAUGGUUUGGAAGCUUAGCAAAGGAGCUCAUCAGCGAAGGUUCGAACACCGGUAUUGCUUUUUGGAGAAUUUCCUUUUCAGCCACAUGAUAAUUAAAUUUUACACUAUUUGGGAAGUAAGUGAUUUUUAUGGGACGGAUGAAAAUGGAGAUGGAAAAUAAUUAACUUUCUCGUGUUUGGAAAUGUUGAGGAAAAUGGCUACAUUCUCUACUAUUUAUAUUUUAUUCCUAUGAAAUACCAGAUGAAAAGGGACGAUUUUAGAAUUCGAAUGGGUAUAAUGAAAUUCACCAAAUUCUUUGAUUGGUUCUUCCCAGAGAAAGGAUCUGCUGAUAGGGAUAUCAAACAAUUAAUUAUAACAGCUUCUUUUUAUACAUGUGGAAACUAGGAGUAGAGGUUCAAUUGCAAGAAGACUGUGCUUAUAAAUUUGGCAUCCCUACGAACCAUUAUUCUUUCCGCAGCUGCAUGCAGAUUGGAGCCUCUUACACUGAAAUGGCAAUGCCAAGACACUUAUAUCACGGUGAAUUUACCUAAAUUGGUAUUAAGGUAACUUGGUUAUUUUCUCCUCUUAUUAAUUUACUUCUUACUAUAAUUUUUACUUCGCAAAUUUAUGGAAUUACUGAAUGAAUAAUGCAUUAAAAAAUAAUUCAACCUGCAUUCAUAAAUACAUCUGAAUUUAAAAAAGUGAAUUUGAGUCAUCUCUAUAAUAAAAAUUAUAAUUAAUUUAAUGAAUGCUAUUUAAAAGAGAUGGUUACUUUGUGUUGUGUAGCUUACAUAUUCUCUCGGAAAAACAUGUUAAUGUAGUGAAUUUGGAAAAAAAAAAAAAAAA